GCAAGAAGUAAUCAUUGCUGGUUCAAGAGAGGCACUGGCUCAGGUUUUAAAGUUGGUAGACUUAAGGGGGAAGACAGGGUGCAACUCUGGAUGCACAUCGUGGAGUUCUUGAGUGUCUCUGGAUCCACACCCUUAAUAGAGAUUCCAGGUGGGUCGGCUCCUCUUCUUAGUGAAGCGCUUGUCAUCGCUGGAAUGCUUGGUUGCACCAAGUAAUGUUGGAGAGGUCAGAAGUCAUCGCUGGAACGCUUGGUUGUCCAGCUUCCAGGGUUCGCAUGGGAUCGAAUCUAAACUCGCAAUCUGCAAUGCCAGCAUCAUAUGUUGCCUCGACUAGUUCACAUGCUCAGGACCUGCUAGGUGUUACAGGGAGAUUAAGAACAAGCCUUACCCAAAGUCAAGGUACUGUCGUGGUGUAUGUGAAUUUGAACUCAUAACUGAACUUGGGAAAUACACUAUUUUCUAUCUUUUGGUUAUCAUUCUUCAGAAACUUAAGAAAUGUCUCCUGAAAGUUAUCAUCUUCUCAUUAUUUAGAAACUGAACUUCAUUGGGUAUUGAUUGUAUGUUAUU